GUCUGCUGAACUCCAAGUGGUAUCUGUAGCAACUAUAAUAAGAACCAGGGCCCAUUUCCAAACCAGUCUGGUUUCCCAAGUGCAAGUUUAUUGUGAAAGUCACUAGAGAUGUCUAACAAUAAGCACAAUUAGCAAAUUUGGGACAUAUCUCAUUUAAUACUCACAACCACCUCAUUUUACAAAUGAGAAAAUAGAGGUUUGAGGGGUCUGUGAGUCAAAAAACCUGUGUUUGUUCAACUGUGUACCUUGUAUCCUCCCUUUAGGGAUCACCUAGGAGAGAAUACCUUGGAGUCAUUGUCAUAAAAUCAAGCAAUUCUCAAAAUGCUGCCCUGGAUGCCCCCAAAUGAUAGCAACAGAAUCUUCAUGAUGCUGAGUGUGAUCCUCAGGAGGGAUCGCAGAUGGAUUCUGAACUGAUGAAGCUGGAAAUGCCUGCAAAUUCAUCCCCGGCUGGAACAGUCCCCCAGAUUGGGUAGGAAUUACUACAGACUGUUGUGGUGUUCCUGAAAUUCCUACCCACUGUACUGGAUACCCUGGCCCCCCCACAGCAUUAUAUUGACAAACAUGGGGUAUUCCAUAUGAUGAUAAUGGCCCAGGAAAUGAAGGGCGUGAGAGUCCUUGUGGCAAGGAGGCUGGGACAGCUCCACGGAUUUGGGACAGAGAAGAAAUCCAUGUUGAUGUGUAGCCCAUAGUAGAUGGAGUAUUCUAACAAAAAAUAAAAACAAAAGAUCAGUUUAUUUGGUAGAUACUUUUACCCAUCUGUAUUCUUUUUGGCUUACUACUCUCCCAUUAUUAUUCUGAGUGUCUACCAUUUUUGGAGUAACGUUCUGUGUGCUAAGCAUAGUUAUAUACCUUAUUUCAUUUCAUCUUCGUAACUGCCCUGCAAGGCAGGCAUUUUUAGAUGAGGAAACAGAAGCUCAAAAUUGAUAACACCCAUCACCACUUAGCAAGUUAAUAGUAAGGUGAGGAUUUGAACACAGUUCCAGCUAACUCCAAGACCCCUGCUAAAUUUCUGUUCACAGUUUAGUGUCUCCUUUCCUUGUGCUAGCACUACUCUUCAAUUUUUACUUCCUUCUGCCAGUUCCAGGCAGUCUCUCAUUCAGGGCCACAGACAACAGUAGUCCAUCUUACUACAUAAUUCUUUGGAGAAAGAGGAGCAUGAUUUAGAGUGGCAUAGGGGAAAGCCUGGCAUAUAGUAGGUGCUCAAUAAAUGUCACCUCCCUACCUCCUCCUACUCACUAUUUAAAGUCUGACAUUUCUGUUAUAUUUUUGGAAAUUUAAACUCGACAAUUAUGUUUUGGGCAGUACUAAGAAAACAUA